UGGGGAAUUUUGGACAAUGGGCGAAAGCCUGAUCCAGCAAUGCCGCGUGUGUGAAGAAGGCCUUCGGGUUGUAAAGCACUUUUGUCCGGAAAGAAAUCCUUGGCUCUAAUACAGUCGGGGGAUGACGGUACCGGAAGAAUAAGCACCGGCUAACUACGUGCCAGCAGCCGCGGUAAUACGUAGGGUGCAAGCGUUAAUCGGAAUUACUGGGCGUAAAGCGUGCGCAGGCGGUUUGCUAAGACCGAUGUGAAAUCCCCGGGCUCAACCUGGGAACUGCAUUGGUGACUGGCAGGCUAGAGUAUGGCAGAGGGGGGUAGAAUUCCACGUGUAGCAGUGAAAUGCGUAGAGAUGUGGAGGAAUACCGAUGGCGAAGGCAGCCCCCUGGGCCAAUACUGACGCUCAUGCACGAAAGCGUGGGGAGCAAACAGGAUUAGAUACCCUGGUAGUCCACGCCCCAAAACGAUGUCAACUAGUUGUUGGGGGAUUCAUUUUCCUUAGUAACGUGCUAACGCGUGAAGUUGACCGCCUGGGGAGUACGGUCGCAAGAUUAAAACUUAAAUGAAUUGACGGGGUCAUA
rnacentral:rRNA from 1 species